GGCAGAGCUAGCGCGAAGCUGAGUAUGUACAGACAUGAUGUUAUUCUGGCCUCUAAAGCCCUAUUCGGACGGGAUUAGUUUUACGUGGGGACGUGGAGUAAUGCGAUUUUACUUCAGGACGUCUGGAAUAUUAAUUGACCAAUUCGCACAGGACAAGACAUCUCAGUAAAACUAGCAGAAGUGGGAGGAGUUACUUUACGCUCCACAGUAACCUCCUCGUCGUCAUGUGCGUAUGACGUUGCUUCCUGUUAUCACGUGCGCAAACAGACAACAUGGCGCCAACAAGAAAAACGCGAAACUGGAGCAGGAAGGAAACGCAGUGUUUAAUCUCGGUUUGGGGAGAACGUCGGAUUCAGAGGCAGUUUGAGAACAUGGUGCAUAAUCACACUAUUUGGGAACAGAUUUAUCGAGAAGUUGUAAGUAAAUGUCCCAAAGUUGAGGAAGAUUUUGGAGAGUGGGGAAAACUGUAGGAUAGAAUCGACUCCCUGAAAAAAGGUCUGCAUUAAACACAACAGACGGACGGGCAGUGAUCCAAAGAUGUCCCCUUAUUGUGAAGAAAUGGAUGCAGUAUUGGGACUCCUUCCGCCUAUCUCGAGCAAGAUUCUACAUCAAGCACAACAGAAUCUUUACCUGACAAUCAAGAGGAUGUUGCAGGACCCAGCACAAUUCCAACAAGAUGUCCACAACCAUCACCAGGGCCAGAUCCAACACAAAGCAACGGGGGACGUAAACACAAGUCAAGAAAGCUGUGGAUAAGGGCCUUGACCGCAUUUUUCAGCAUGAAACUGCUUCAGGUGGGGACUACAUGCGGUACAAGAGGGACCGACUGGAAUGGGAGAAGGAAGCUGAGAGGAACCGGAUGGAUUUUGAGAGGUGUCGCCUCGAUUUUUAAAUGAGAAGGAUGGAGGCUGAGGAGAGGCGCUCGAGAGAGAACAGAGAAUUGAUUAUGCAGUUAUUUCAGUGCCUUAGGCCAACAGCCUUUCCUUCCACCACACCAUUCAAUUAUAGCCCAUACCCUAGCUAUCUCGCUCCUUCUGAGGUUCAGUUUGGACCCCCUGCUCCAAGUGCCACACCUGUGUCUCACCCAAAACAUCAGUCUCAUCCCCACUCUCUUCCAUAAAGUGGAUAUUUUUCUUACAGGUCACUUGUAUGUUUUUCAAAAUAGCGUUCCUUAAACUUUAUUACAAAGAAGAGAGACUUCUUUUUUUUUAUUGGUAAAGUAUAUUUUUUUAUUAAGUAUUUGCACAAAAAUAUAAGAACAAGCUGUUUUAUUUAAACAAAGUUGUAAUAAUAAUAAUAAUAUACUAAUAUUAAUGCUGCUAUAUUAGCGCUAGCUUGCUGCUAACCGAACAUUAGCCAUACGCUAACAGUAGCGUGUCUGAGCGCAAGUGUUCAUGGGAUAUGUAGCUUUCACACAGUGACCGAACUACAAUCAGCGAUAAUACAAGUUAAUAAUGCAGUAAAAAUAACAAGGAAUCAAGCUCUGAACGGAGAUGUGGUGGUUUAGCUCCCUCCAGACCAGUGGAAGGUGUGUGUGUGAAAUUCGCCGUUUUUAAUCAAAAUAUGUCAUUUGUGUGAAUCGUGUAGAUCCGAAGAGUUUUUAGUUUUGGGGGGGCUUCUUUCAGCUGCGUCCGAAAGCGCUUACUUCUAUCCAAUAAUUAGGCAAAGUAGUGCUUAGGCGGUGUUUUUGGAUGCAGCGUAGUAAACCAUCUAUCAAGCUGAUGCCUCGCGUCUCUACUUCUAAUGACUUUUUAUGGCGGAUGGCAAACCAACUUUUGGUGCAUUCACGGCCACCAACUGGACUGGAGUGUGAAGCACUAGUAAGCAGAUGACGCCUCACGUCUCAAUCAUCCUCGUGUCUUAUAUAUUUGUGUUCAUCAAUUUAUUAAUAGUGAAAUUUCACUGCUUUUGGUAGCCGUCUUUGUGGCGAUUAACAUUAUAGAUAAACGCGUCCAGCUCUGACUGCGCGUGCACGCUGCGCAUACCUGUGCUUCUCCGUACAAAUAACGCACUUUUGAAAGACUAUAACGCACGCGCGUAAAAGUAAAGUAAAAAAAUUGCUCUUGGAUCAAACUGAUAAAUAAUUUUCUGUCCUGCAUUUUAACGUAAUUUUUAUUGUUUAUUUAUGAAAGUAAAAAUUAUACUUAUAGAUUUAGGGUGGCUGAGAUGACAGACAGGGGGCUGAGCCACCCUAAAAAAGGUCUAGAACCGCCCCUGGUUCCAAGGCACUCAAAUUGUGCAGAGAAAAAUUAUUUCCAAGAAAUUUUGGUAAAAGUGCUUUUUUCACUUGAA